GUGCUCGCUUCGGCAGCACAUACACUAAAAUUGGAACAAUUCAGAGAAGAUUAGCGUGGCCCCUGCACAAGGAUGACACGAAUUUAAAGCACCAAUGAUAGUUUCAU
ensembl:snRNA U6 U6 spliceosomal RNA